ensembl:lncRNA
CAUCAGCUACACCAAGACCAACAAUAAAGUUCAGGUUCGGGGUGAUGAUGAAGGUGAUGCAGUGACCUACAGCACUGUGAAGGCUCAUUCCUCUUCUGCUGCAGCCACUGCUGAUCCCAGCAGCCUCUACUCUACUGUCACUUUUCCACUCACAUAGUUAAAGUUGACAAAAAGGACUCGCAUUUAAGUCCCUCAGGGUUUCCUCUGUCUCAUCUACAUCCUUUAACCUCUUUUUUUUUUUUUAUCAUGUUUAAUGCAAGUCCUGGCUCUAAUUUUAGUUCUCAUUUAUUUUUUCCUGUUUUACUUUGAAGUUUACUUUUCUUUCAUAUCUCACAUCAGUCAUACUUUUCUUUUUGUUAUUUCUCGCUUUGCCCUCAUUGUUUUCAUAUGUGUUUAUCCUCAACCUCAACUAGUCCUCAGUGUAUAUAAAUAAUUUAUUGUGGGUAUUACAGUUUUUUCUGAAUGCUUAAACCCUAACUUUGAUUCUUAUAGCACAAUAUCUAAAACUAUUAAUACUUAUAGCAAAACCACUCACUGAGUUUGCA